rnacentral:rRNA from 1 species
AUUGAACGCUAGCGGGAUGCCUUACACAUGCAAGUCGAACGGAGUGGCGAACGGGUGAGUAAUGUAUCGGAACGUGCCCCGUAGCGGGGGAUAACUACGCGAAAGCGUAGUUAAUACCGCACACUAUUGGUGCGGCCGACCUCGGAUUAGUUAGGUGGUGGGGUAAAGGCUCACCAAGGCGACGAUCCGUAGCUGGUUUGUGAGGACGGCCAGCCACACUGGGGCUGAGACACGGCCCAGACGCCUACGGGAGGCAGCAGUGGGGAAGUUUGGACAAUGGGGGAAACCCUGAUGCAGCCAUCCCGCGUGUGCGAUGAAGGCCUUCGGGUUGUAAAGCACGUUUGGCAGGAAAGCGGUACCUGCAGAAUAAGCACCGGCUAACUACGUGCCAGCAGCCGCGGUAAGUC